rnacentral:rRNA from 1 species
UACGUAGGGACCAAGCGUUGUCCGGAAUCAUUGGGCGUAAAGAGCGUGUAGGCGGCUUGUUAAGUCUUGCGUGAAAUCUCGGGGCUCAACCCCGAGCGGUCGUGAGAAACUGGCAGGCUAGAGUGCGGGAGAGGAGAGUGGAAUUCCUGGUGUAGCGGUGAAAUGCGCAGAUAUCAGGAAGAACACCCGUGGCGAAGGCGGCUCUCUGGAACGCAACUGACGCUGAGACGCGAAAGCGUGGGGAGCAACAGG